rnacentral:rRNA from 4 species
CAGGUGCUGCAUGGCUGUCGUCAGCUCGUGUUGUGAAAUGUUGGGUUAAGUCCCGCAACGAGCGCAACCCUUAUCCUUUGUUGCCAGCGGUCCGGCCGGGAACUCAAAGGAGACUGCCAGUGAUAAACUGGAGGAAGGUGGGGAUGACGUCAAGUCAUCAUGGCCCUUACGACCAGGGCUACACACGUGCUACAAUGGCGCAUACAAAGAGAAGCGACCUCGCGAGAGCAAGCGGACCUCAUAAAGUGCGUCGUAGUCCGGAUUGGAGUCUGCAACUCGACUCCAUGAAGUCGGAAUCGCUAGUAAUCGUGGAUCAGAAUGCCACGGUGAAUACGUUCCCGGGCCUUGUACACACCGCCCGUCACACCAUGGGAGUGGGUUGCAAAAGAAGUAGGUAGCUUAACCUUCGGGAGGGCGCUUACCACUUUGUGAUUCAUGACUGGGGUGAAGUCGUAACAAGGUAACCGUAGGGGAACCUGC